rnacentral:rRNA from 1 species
GAUGAACGCUGGCGGCGUGCCUAAUACAUGCAAGUCGAGCGAACGGACGAGAAGCUUGCUUCUCUGAUGUUAGCGGCGGACGGGUGAGUAACACGUGGAUAACCUACCUAUAAGACUGGGAUAACUUCGGGAAACCGGAGCUAAUACCGGAUAAUAUUUUGAACCGCAUGGUUCAAAAGUGAAAGACGGUCUUGCUGUCACUUAUAGAUGGAUCCGCGCUGCAUUAGCUAGUUGGUAAGGUAACGGCUUACCAAGGCAACGAUGCAUAGCCGACCUGAGAGGGUGAUCGGCCACACUGGAACUGAGACACGGUCCAGACUCCUACGGGAGGCAGCAGUAGGGAAUCUUCCGCAAAGGGCGAAAGCCUGACGGAGCAACGCCGCGUGAGUGAUGAAGGUCUUCGGAUCGUAAAACUCUGUUAUUAGGGAAGAACAUAUGUGUAAGUAACUGUGCACAUCUUGACGGUACCUAAUCAGAGAGCCACGGCUAACUACGUG